rnacentral:lncRNA from 12 species
AGGCAGCAUCUCCUCCUCUUGGAGUGCCUGGAUGUGUCUUCAUCUCCCCUCCAGGCACCAUCGGGGAGUUUCAGCCAGAAUGCUGAACCCAAUUCCUGUGUCCAAGGCUGUGAAAGACGUUUGUUUCAGUUGCCAACAUCUCUACAGAACUAAUGUGGGUGGAUUGUGACAGAUAUAAUUUCUCCAUCCUACAGUUUCAUCAACUUGAGUUCUGUUAA